rnacentral:misc_RNA from 1 species
GAUGAAGAACGUAGCGAAAUGCGAUAAUUAAUGUGAAUUGCAGAAUUCAGUGAAUCAUCGAGUCUUUGAACGCACAUUGCGCCCCCUGGUAUUCCGGGGGGCAUGCCUGUCCGAGCGUCAUUGCUGCCCUCAAGCACGGCUUGUGUGUUGGGCUUCCGUCCCUGGCAACGGGGACGGGCCCAAAAGGCAGUGGCGGCACCAUGUCUGGUCCUCGAGCGUAUGGGGCUUUGUCACCCGCUCCCGUAGGUCCAGCUGGCAGCUAGCCUCGCAACCAAUCUUUUUAACCAGGUUGACCUCGGAUCAGGUAGGGAUACCCGCUGAACUUAAGCAUAUCAUAAGCGGAGGA